GCUAGGUAGCUCCUUUCUUUUUGUCACCAAAGGUGAUGCUGCAUUAUAUGCACGUAGUUUGUUCAUCCAGGCUACCUGUUGAAGGACAUCUUGUUUGAUCCCAGUCUUUGAGAAUCAUGAAGGGAGCUGCGGUACAAUUUUGUGUGGACAGAAAGAAGUUUUCUCCUCAUCGAGGAAAGUGUGCAAAUCUGGCCAUUGUGACUAAUCCUCUUCAGCUGCGCCUCCAGCCACAGCUUCCGUGUUCUCCUCCUCUGCCUUUACUUCCUCAGGGCCCAGCCCUGUCUGACUGCGUACAAUAUUUCUACCUAACUUAGCUGUCUACAUCCAGGGGAGCCCACCAGCUGUUACAAAGGUGAAUAAAGAAAC
rnacentral:lncRNA from 1 species